CCCAUCCCCGAAGUGCAGCGUUAGGAGGGUUCAGCCAUCACAACCCCUCUGGUGGGGACGGCUUUGGGGGGCUCACACCACCACGUGCUGGGGCAGGGGGGUGUCAUCUGGGUGGUCAGCAGGGGGGCAGGGCCUGGGCCGGGCCGUGCUGGUGGGGGGUGAGGAUGCGGCGUGGACCGGCACCGAGCUGCUCUCAUCUUCAACUUCCUUCCCAGCACCGAGCCCAUUUCCUCUGGUGUCACGUGCACCGUGUGGGGCCGUGGCAGCCCCGGGAGCCUGGCACCGCACUGCGCCCCACAGCUUCGUGGGCAGCCCCACACCAGCAGCUCCCGGACCCCCCGAGGAUGGAGCCGGCCAAGGUCCCCCCCAGCAAGAGGAUGGCUCCUGCUCCCCCCGUCCCUGCCAAGGCCAAACCGGCCCCCACCCUGGCCAGCAAGUAAGACACACGUGGCCCUGUCAGGGCACCUGGGGCCACUGUGAUGCCCCCAGCACCGUGGCCCUGCCCAUGUCCAUGCCUUGUCCCCAGAUGGGAGCUCCCCUCUGGGAGGGUUGAGCAUGGCCCGGCUCUGCCCUUUGACCACCUCUGCUGCCCCCCCAGACCUGGUGGCCCCCCACCCGGUGCCUCGGCCGACGCGGAGCUGGGCAGAGCCAGAGACACAGGUGGGUGCUGGGUGCAGGCACCGGGCGCUGCAGCCGCCGUGGGGCCGUGCCCUCUGCCGGCACCGGGCGCUGACGCUCUCUCUUUGGCAGAUGGUGACGGCUUCAACGUGGUGCCGGUCACCACGGCCAGGCUGAGCCACCCCACGGCCACACGCCCCCGGGUGCCGGGCCAGCGGCCGCCCAGCCUCGCCCUGGGGAGCGUGGGGGGUCCCUGCGGGGGGGAGCAGCCCUGGGGGCUCGGUGCCCCUCUCCCCGGCGCGGGCCAGGCUCCUGGCCCACCGUGGAGCACGGAGGUUCUGGUGGCACCGCGGGCAGGGGAGACGCUGGCCCUGGAGGACCUGAAGGCUGAGGUCCGGUCCCUGCACAUCCUCGUGGACCUGAUGCGAGUCCAGCACCUGCGGGACCUGGAGGAGAUGCGGCUGGAGAUGUGCCAGGAGCGAGCCAAGCGCCAGGCGCUGCAGGUGAGUCCCCGGCGAGGGGCUGCCCCCCCCCCCCCCCAACCAUGGGGUCCCCCCCACCCCCCCGACACUCACAGCCUCUCCCUGCAGGCGGAGAUCGAGCGGGUGAGGAAGGCGCUGCCCUGCUAACAGCGGCGGUGCCCACCCCUCCGGGCUGGUGGGUGGCACUUGGUGCUGGUGCUGUGCCCUGUGCCCCCCCCCAGCCCAGUUCUGCACCCAUUGGGCAGGAACCCUCACCCCCACACCCGGGCUUCGUGGUGUGGUGCAGACCCCAAGGGGGCACCCACCCUGGGCUUAUAGAUAUUGUUUAAAAUAAACUAUUUUGGGUACAGAGCGCUGCUGGGCUG
rnacentral:lncRNA from 1 species